rnacentral:rRNA from 1 species
GACGAACGCUGGCGGCGUGCUUAACACAUGCAAGUCGAACCGAAAGGCCCUGCUUUUGUGGGGUGCUCGAGUGGCGAACGGGUGAGUAACACGUGAGUAACCUGCCCUUGACUUUGGGAUAACUUCAGGAAACUGGGGCUAAUACCGGAUAGGAGCUCCUGCUGCAUGGUGGGUGUUGGAAAGUUUCGGCGGUUGGGGCUGGACUCGCGGCUUAUCAGCUUGUUGGUGGGGUAGUGGCUUACCAAGGCUUUGACGGGUAGCCGGCCUGAGAGGGUGACCGGCCACAUUGGGACUGAGAUACGGCCCAGACUCCUACGGGAGGCAGCAGUGGGGAAUAUUGCACAAUGGGCGGAAGCCUGAUGCAGCAACGCCGCGUGCGGGAUGACGGCCUUCGGGUUGUAAACCGCUUUCGCCUGUGACGAAGCGUGAGUGACGGUAAUGGGUAAAGAAGCACCGGCUAACUACGUG